GACGAACGCUGGCGGCGUGCCUAAUACAUGCAAGUCGAACGCUUCUUUCCUCCCGAGUGCUUGCACUCAAUUGGAAAGAGGAGUGGCGGACGGGUGAGUAACACGUGGGUAACCUACCCAUCAGAGGGGGAUAACACUUGGAAACAGGUGCUAAUACCGCAUAACAGUUUAUGCCGCAUGGCAUAGGAGUGAAAGGCGCUUUCGGGUGUCGCUGAUGGAUGGACCCGCGGUGCAUUAGCUAGUUGGUGAGGUAACGGCUCACCAAGGCCACGAUGCAUAGCCGACCUGAGAGGGUGAUCGGCCACACUGGGACUGAGACACGGCCCAGACUCCUACGGGAGGCAGCAGUAGGGAAUCUUCGGCAAUGGAUGAAAGUCUGACCGAGCAACGCCGCGUGAGUGAAGAAGGUUUUCGGAUCGUAAAACUCUGUUGUUAGAGAAGAACAAGGACGUUAGUAACUGAACGUCCCCUGACGGUAUCUAACCAGAAAGCCACGGCUAACUACGUG
rnacentral:rRNA from 1 species